UACGUAGGGUGCAAGCGUUGUCCGGAAUUAUUGGGCGUAAAGAGCUCGUAGUCGGUUUGUCGCGUCUGCUGUGAAAACUCGGGGCUUAACUCCGUGCCUGCAGUGGGUACGGGCAGACUAGAGUGCGGUAGGGGAGACUGGAAUUCCUGGUGUAGCGGUGAAAUGCGCAGAUAUCAGGAGGAACACCGGUGGCGAAGGCGGGUCACUGGCCCGGUACUGACGCUGAGGUGCGAAAGCGAGGGGAGCAAACAGG
rnacentral:rRNA from 1 species